AUUGAACGCUGGCGGCAGGCUUAACACAUGCAAGUCGAGCGGGGUGAAGUGCUUCGGUACUGAUCCUAGCGGCGGACGGGUGAGUAAUGCUUAGGAAUCUGCCAUUUAGUGGGGGACAACAUUCCGAAAGGGAUGCUAAUACCGCAUACGUCCUACGGGAGAAAGCAGGGGAUCUUCGGACCUUGCGCUAAAUGAUGAGCCUAAGUCGGAUUAGCUAGUUGGUGGGGUAAAGGCUUACCAAGGCGACGAUCUGUAGCGGGUCUGAGAGGAUGAUCCGCCACACUGGGACUGAGACACGGCCCAGACUCCUACGGGAGGCAGCAGUGGGGAAUAUUGGACAAUGGGCGGAAGCCUGAUCUAGCCAUGCCGCGUGUGUGAAGAAGGCCUUUUGGUUGUAAAGCACUUUAAGCGAGGAGGAGGCUACCUGGAUUAAUACUCUGGGAUAGUGGACGUUACUCGCAGAAUAAGCACCGGCUAACUCUGUGCCAGCCGCCGCGGUAACAC
rnacentral:rRNA from 1 species